rnacentral:lncRNA from 1 species
GUGAAAUACAUUUCGACUAUUUACAGAGAUUGCAUUGUAUAACUUGUAUACACUGUAUUACUUUGGUCUGUUUUAUCAUUUGCUGUUUUGCCUAAGUCAGGAAGUGUUUAUGUUCUUGUGUGUGUGUGUGCGUGUGUGUGUGUGUGAACAUGCGCACAGAAGCGUUGAUAUCCUUUGAACCACAACACAUACAGUAACAUGUGAAUAUAUGACAGUUACUGUAUAGUAGCUACAUAACGUGAAUCCUGUUAGCCACGGGACUAUGACAAUAUUCUCCCUGUUGAUUCUAUUUCAACUCCAUUUGCAGAGCAGGGGCUGAGUCAAUGCAACUUGAACGUUAAGUGCAACAGAGCAGAGUUGUCGUGCCAACCGCUGCCUGUGCACCGUGACCUCAACAUCUGGUAUGUUCUGAGCGUGCUCCAACUCCGGCUCCUAGGAUCAGCUAACUCACCAUGGGAAACUACAUGUGUGGAACACUGAGGAAGAAGAAAAAUGAAGAUGAAGAUAACGGUGAUAAUCAUAGCAGCCCAGACAACAAGGAAGAGGAUGUGACAUAUGCCACCAUCGACCAUAACAACACCAAGACAACAGGAUUCAUUGUAGAUUCCGGAGAUAAUGAUUGUGACUACGCCAUCGUUAACCUUCCAACUGGCCCAGCCCACCAGCCGUCAAUCAAGGAAGACUGUGCAGAUGACUAUGUCCUUAUGGGCUAACCUCAUGGACAAUGUGUGUGUGUGUGAGAUGACAGAGGUAAUGUGAGUAGGGGGAUAACGGAGAUGCAAGGUGGACAAGGGCUGGGGAAAGCUAGACAGCACCUUACGGAACCAAAGGAACAGAUAUGAUGCCUCUGACAGUGCCUACAAACUGAACUUGAUGCAGUGUGGGGUGCACCAAUUAGUGGGGCUUACCAAAGUAUUCACCCCCUUGGCAUUUUUCCUAUUUUGUUGACUUACAACCUGGAAUUAAAAUAUAUUUUGGGAGGUUUGUAUCAUUUGAUUUACACAACAUGCCUACCACUUUGAAGAUGCAAAAUAUUUUUUAUUGUGAAACAAACAAGAAAUAAGACAAAAAAACUGAAAAAAUGAGUGUGCAUAACUAUUCACCCCAAAAGUCAAUACUUUGUAGAGCCACCGUUUGCAGCAAUUACGGCUGCAAGUCUCUUGGGGUAUGUCUCGGCAAAUCUAGCCACUGGGAUUUUUGCCCAUUCUUCAAGGCAAAACUGUUCCAGUUCCUUCAAGUUGGAUGGAUUCCGCUGGUAUACAGCAAUCUUUAAGUCAUACCACAGAUUCUCAAUUGGAUUGAGGUCUGGGCUUUGACAAGGCCAUUCCAAUACAUUUAAAUGUUUCCCCUUAAACCACUUGAGUGUUGCUUUAGCAGUAUGCUUAGGGUCAUUGUCCUGCUGGAAGGUGAACCUCCGUAACCAGUCUUAAAUCUUUGGAAGACUGAAACAGGUUUCCCUCAAGAAUGUCCCUGUAUUUAGCUCCAUCCAUCAUUCCUUCAAUUCUGACCAGUUUCCCAGUCCCUGCCGAUGAAAAACAUUCAUACAGCAUGAUGCUGCCACCACCAUGCUUCACUGUGGGGAUGGCGUUCUCAGGGUGAUGAGGGGUUGGGUUUGUGCAAGACAUUGUGUUUUCCUUAAUGGCCAAAAAGCUCAAUUUUAGUCUCACCUGUCCUGAGUCCCUUCUUCCAUAUGUUUGGGGAGUCUCCCACAUGCCUUUUAGUGACACUUAGAUUGCACACAGGUGGACUUUAUUUAACCUGUUGGGGCUACAGGUUAGCAAUGAACCCCGAGCCGGGAUUGCUAACAAGGC